rnacentral:rRNA from 1 species
GACGAACGCUGGCGGCGUGCUUAACACAUGCAAGUCGAACGGAAAGGCCCUGCUUUUGUGGGGUGCUCGAGUGGCGAACGGGUGAGUAACACGUGAGUAACCUGCCCUUGACUUUGGGAUAACUUCAGGAAACUGGGGCUAAUACCGGAUAGGAGCUCCUGCUGCAUGGUGGGGGUUGGAAAGUUUCGGCGGUUGGGGAUGGACUCGCGGCUUAUCAGCUUGUUGGUGGGGUAGUGGCUUACCAAGGCUUUGACGGGUAGCCGGCCUGAGAGGGUGACCGGCCACAUUGGGACUGAGGGACGGCCCAGACUCCUACGGGAGGCAGCAGUGGGGAGUAUUGCACAAUGGGCGGAAGCCUGAUGCAGCGGCGCCGCGUGCGGGAUGACCGCCUUCGGGUUGUAAACCGCUUUCGCCUGUGACGAAGCGUGAGUGACGGUAAUGGGUAAAGAAGCACCGGCUAACUACGUG